GAAUUUUAAAGAAGACUUCUCAUUAAUAAUAUAUGAUUAUUAAAAACGAAUAAUGUUGACAAAAAUAACAUGAAUAGCAAAUAAACAAAAGAGAAAACGAGAAGAAAAUUUGUAGUAUUGUUCACACAAACUUUCAAAGUUACUAAAAAAACUAAUGUAAACGUAAUUGAGGUUAGUGAAGUCACAUGAAUAUUCAAAUUUGUGGUAUAUAUAUGCUCUUCAAAUUUCUUCAAUCUUUAAAGGAGGUGCUGGGUUAAUUAGGGUGCGAUACAGUCCCUCCAACAAUCGGGGCCGGUUUUUGCUAUCCUGUUCGGAUUAUUUGUGCAUACGAAAUAAUCUGACAUUGGUUUGCAUGGUGGUUUCCCUGUCCUCUGUCCUGUAACGGGAUUUGUUAAUGGCUUGUCAUCUUUAAAAACUUUAUCUAGAAAACCUGAAAAAAAAAAUAAACAAUAAAAUAUUUAAAAAGACUAUAUAUGGAAGAAAUGAUUAUGAUUAUAAUCGUAAUUAUAAACAAAACCUAAACUAUAUAUGACAUACAAUCAUGAAGACUAGCGAGUGAAACGAGGAUGAUACAAAAGAUAACAAGUUUGGAUGACGGCAUUGUGCUUUUUCUUUCCAAAGUAACCUUUUUGUUAUUUGAUG
rnacentral:lncRNA from 1 species